rnacentral:rRNA from 1 species
GUGGGGAAUUUUGGACAAUGGGCGCAAGCCUGAUCCAGCAAUGCCGCGUGCAGGAAGAAGGCCUUCGGGUUGUAAACUGCUUUUGUACGGAACGAAACGGUCCUGGUUAAUACCUGGGGCUAAUGACGGUACCGUAAGAAUAAGCACCGGCUAACUACGUGCCAGCAGCCGCGGUAAUACGUAGGGUGCGAGCGUUAAUCGGAAUUACUGGGCGUAAAGCGUGCGCAGGCGGUGCUGUAAGACAGGCGUGAAAUCCCCGGGCUCAACCUGGGAAUUGCGCUUGUGACUGCAGUGCUGGAGUACGGCAGAGGGGGAUGGAAUUCCGCGUGUAGCAGUGAAAUGCGUAGAUAUGCGGAGGAACACCGAUGGCGAAGGCAGUCCCCUGGGCCUGUACUGACGCUCAUGCACGAAAACGUGGGGAGCAAACAGGAUUAGAUACCCCAGUAGUCC